GGACUACUAGGGUAUCUAAUCCUGUUUGCUCCCCACGCUUUCGCGUUUCAGCGUCAGCAACGAGCCAGAGGGCCGCCUUCGCCGCCGGUAUUCCUCCUGAUAUCUACGCAUUUCACCGCUACACCAGGAAUUCUACCCUCCUCUAUCGCGCUCUAGCUGGCUAGUUUCCAAUGCACUUCCGGAGCUAAGCUCCGGGCUUUCACAUCAGACUUGACCAACCGCCUACACGCCCUUUACGCCCAGUCAAUCCGAACAACGCUCGCACCCUCCGUCUUACCGCGGCUGCUGGCAC
rnacentral:rRNA from 1 species